AGAGUUGAUCCUGGCUAGGACGAACGCUGGCGGCGUGCCUAACACAUGCAAGUCGAGCGAGGAGAUUCCUUCGGGAUGAUCCUAGCGGCGGACGGGUGAGUAACACGUGGGCAACCUGCCUCAUAGAGAGGAAUAGCCUUCCGAAAGGGAGAUUAAUACCUCAUAACAUUGCAGUUUCGCAUGGAACAGCAAUUAAAGGAGUAAUCCGCUAUGAGAUGGGCCCGCGGCGCAUUAGCUAGUUGGUGAGGUAAUGGCUCACCAAGGCGACGAUGCGUAGCCGACCUGAGAGGGUGAUCGGCCACAUUGGGACUGAGACACGGCCCAGACUCCUACGGGAGGCAGCAGUGGGGAAUAUUGCACAAUGGGGGAAACCCUGAUGCAAGCAACGCCGCGUGAGUGAUGACGGCCUUCGGGUUGUAAAGCUCUGUCUUCAGGGACGAUAAUGACGGUACCUGAGGAGGAAGCCACGGCUAACUACGUGCCAGCCGCAGC
rnacentral:rRNA from 1 species